rnacentral:rRNA from 1 species
CCCUUAGAUGUCCUGGGCUGCACGCGCGCUACACUGAUGUGUCCAGUAAGCACCUAACCUCUUCCGAAAGGAACGGGUAACCUUUGCAAAGCGCAUCGUGACGGGGAUAGAUUAUUGCAAUUAUUAAUCUUCAACGAGGAAUGCCUAGUAGGCGCAAGUCAUCAGCUUGCGUCGAUUACGUCCCUGCCCUUUGUACACACCGCCCGUCGCUCCUACCGAUUGGGUGUGCUGGUGAAAUGUUCGGAUCGGCCGUUUGUCGCGGUUUCCGCGUCAUGUGGCUGAGAAGUUCAUUAAACCCUCCCACCUAGAGGAAGGAGAAGUCGUAACA